rnacentral:other from 1 species
UCAGAUCAAGUCGCGACUAAUACAGUUGAGGACAUCGAUGAACUUUUGGCUUGUGGUUAUGAUGUUGUGUUUGCCUCAUGUCCGGUAAUCUGGUCAAGGUAGCUCAUUUACUGUUUUUCAUUUCCUGUAUAUUUAUUCUGUCCUUCCGCAGUGAUUUUAUGCAGCAUCGCUUGAUUUGCAGGGCUUUUUUUC